GCCGGCCACUGCCCCAUCUGCCAAGAGGCGCAUUCUGCGGAUGUCUUCUUUGCUCAGCCACGAGGGGGCGCUCUCGCUGUAGAUCCUGAUAUUGCUCUCCUUGACCUUGGGCUGCGGCAAAUCCGAGCUCCCACCUCGCGCUCCCAGACCUGGUAGCAACCGCCAGGGUCUUUCCCCGGCCUUGCCCAGGUUUCCUCCCUGGAUAUACCCAUGCGCUUCAACAUCAGGUACCCUUGCAGCUUCUUGUAACUGAAGAGAUGGUCCUAUCAAAGCCUCCUGACGGGGGGCCGGAGAUGCCACUGCAUACUUCUUCCUGCGCUUGGGUUUCACUGUGCCGCGGAUAUUGGCUGGCUUGCUGCGCUUGGAGCGUAGGAGUUGAAAGGGAGCGGAAGGAGAAGCAAAGACAGCAGAGCAUUCUUGCUACUCCGUGGCUGUUGGGAAUUGGCUUAUGAGCUCUCCAGGCUUGGCAGGAAAUCAAGUGAUGGACUAGCAACAUAUCAAGGACCCCAAGAUUUGUCUUGAGUAACUGAAAUAAUGGAGUUGUCAUUGACUGAGAAGGGGAGGAGAAUAAGAAGUCUAGGUACACAUUUUGAGGGUUGCUUAUAGGAGAUAAGGCACAGAAGACAGAAGCAGCUUUACUGAGCAAAAGCAGAAUGUCAAGACCCAGAAGACAUCCUAGUAAAGAGAGACUUCCU